AUAACAAUACAGGACUCUUUAGAGGCCCUGUAAUUGUAAUGAGUCCACGUGAAAUAUUUUAACUCUGAUCAAUUGGAGGGCAAGUCUGGUGCAGAGCGACUGACCCGUGCAUGCUGCAGCUGAAA